rnacentral:rRNA from 1 species
AUUGAACGCUGGCGGCAGGCCUAACACAUGCAAGUCGAGCGAGCGGCGGACGGUUGAGUAAUGUCUGGGAAACUGCCUGAUGGCGGGGGAUAACUACUGGAAACGGUAGCUAAUACCGCCUACCAUCCCAUGUGCCCAGAUGGGAUUGGCUGGUAGGUGGGGUAACGGCUCACCUAGGCGACGAUCCCUAGCUGGUCUGAGAGGAUGACCAGCCACACUGGAACUGAGACACGGUCCAGACUCCUACGGGAGGCAGCAGUGGGGAAUAUUGCACAAGGGGCGCAAGCCUGAUGCAGCCAUGCCGCGUGUGUGAAGAAGGCCUUCGGGUUGUAAAGCACUUUCAGCGGGGAGGCGUUACCCGCAGAAGAAGCACCGGCUAACUCCGUGCCAGCAGCCGCGGUAAUAG